CCCUUAGAUGUCCUGGGCCGCACGCGCGUUACACUGAUGCAUUCAACGAGCUUAUAACCUUGGCCGAGAGGCCCGGGCAAUCUUGUUAACGUGCAUCGUGAUAGGGAUAGAUUAUUGAAAUUAUUAAUCUUGAACGAGGAAUUCCUAGUAAACGCAGAUCAUCAAUCUGCAUUGAUUACGUCCCUGCCCUUUGUACACACCGCCCGUCGCACCUACCGAUUGGAUGGUCCGGUGAAGCCUCGGGAUUGUGGUUCUUGCCGCUUUAUUGUGGCGUGACCGCGAGAACUUGUCUAAACCUUAUCAUCUAGAGGAAGGUGAAGUCGUAACA
rnacentral:rRNA from 1 species